CAGCCGCCACGGGAAUACGAAGGGGGCUAGCGUUGUUCGGAAUCACUGGGCGUAAAGGGUGCGUAGGCGGGAUCUUAAGUCAGGGGUGAAAUCCCGAGGCUCAACCCCGGAACUGCCUUUGAUACUGGGGUCCUUGAGUCCGGAAGAGGUGAGUGGAACUGCGAGUGUAGAGGUGAAAUUCGUAGAUAUUCGCAAGAACACCGGUGGCGAAGGCGGCUCACUGGUCCGGAACUGACGCUGAGGCACGACAGCGUGGGGAGCAAACAGGAUUAGAUACCCGUGUAGUCCCUGUCUCUUAUAC
rnacentral:rRNA from 1 species